rnacentral:rRNA from 1 species
UGGACCCGCGUCUGAUUAGGUAGUUGGUGGGGUAACGGCCUACCAAGCCAACGAUCAGUAGCCGACCUGAGAGGGUGACCGGCCACAUUGGGACUGAGACACGGCCCAAACUCCUACGGGAGGCAGCAGUGGGGAAUAUUGCACAAUGGGGGAAACCCUGAUGCAGCGACGCCGCGUGAGCGAAGAAGUAUUUCGGUAUGUAAAGCUCUAUCAGCAGGGAAGAAAAUGACGGUACUUGACUAAGAAGCACCGGCUAAAUACGUGCCAGCAGCCGCGGUAAUACGUAUGGUGCAAGCGUUAUCCGGAUUUACUGGGUGUAAAGGGAGCGUAGACGGCUGUGUAAGUCUGAAGUGAAAGCCCGGGGCUCAACCCCGGGACUGCUUUGGAAACUAUGCAGCUAGAGUGUCGGAGAGGUAAGUGGAAUUCCCAGUGUAGCGGUGAAAUGC